GACGAACGCUGGCGGCGUGCUUAACACAUGCAAGUCGAACGGAAAGGCCCUGCUUUUGUGGGGUGCUCGAGUGGCGAACGGGUGAGUAACACGUGAGUAACCUGCCCUUGACUUUGGGAUAACUUCAGGAAACUGGGGCUACUACCGGAUAGGAGCUCCUGCUGCAUGGUGGGGGUUGGAACGUUUCGGCGGUUGGGGAUGGACUCGCGGCUUAUCAGCUUGUUGGUGGGGUAGUUGCUUACCAAGGCUUUGACGGGUAGCCGGCCUGAGAGGGUGAACGGCCACAUUGGGACUGAGAUACGGCCCAGACUCCUAUGGGAGGCAGCAGUGGGGAAUAUUGCACAAUGGGCGGAAGCCUGAUGCAGCGACGCCGGGUGCGGGAUGACGGCCUUCGGGGUGUAAACCGCUUUCGCCUGUGACGAAGCGUGAGUGACGGUAAUGGGUAAAGAAGCACCGGCUAACUACGUG
rnacentral:rRNA from 1 species